UACGGAGGGGGCUAGCGUUGUUCGGAAUUACUGGGCGUAAAGGGUGCGUAGGCGGGUCUUUAAGUCAGGGGUGAAAUCCUGGAGCUCAACUCCAGAACUGCCUUUGACACUGAGGAUCUUGAGUUCGGGAGAGGUGAGUGGAACUGCGAGUGUAGAGGUGAAAUUCGUAGAUAUUCGCAAGAACACCAGUGGCGAAGGCGGCUCACUGGACUGGUAUUGACGCUGAUGUGCGAAAGCGUGGGGAGCAAACAGGG
rnacentral:rRNA from 1 species